rnacentral:rRNA from 1 species
GUUUACGGCCAUACCACCCUGUCUGCACCCGAACUUGUUUGAUCUCGGAAGCUAAGCAGGGUUGGGCCUGGUUAGUAUUUGGAUGGGAGACCGCCUGGGAAUACCAGGUGCUGUAUGCU